ensembl:snoRNA
UGGACAUUUAUGUUUAUUCAGUUUCUCUUACUUAAGGUGAAGAAACUCUUUGUGACUGUCCUACAGAAACAUAGUAGCUUUCUAUUUGCCUUUUGCCAAGUAAAAAACUGACAUUUGUCCACAUGUAAAAUAA